AGCUUUGCACAGUGGCAGUAUUGUAGCCAAUGAGGUUUAUCCGAGGCGUGAUUAUUGCUAAUUGAAAACUUUUCCCAAAACUGAGGCUCAAGAACUUGGCAGGCCCCAUAUAACAAAGCUGAUUUACUAG
rnacentral:snRNA from 1 species